AUGAAGCGUUCACGCAGUUCAUUGCGGCAGCAGGCCCGGGAAGCCGCUGCCAUGCGGCUGCUGACCUCAUACUCGACGCCACCCAUGCCGACAACUGGAGCGGGAGCGGCGGCGAGGUGUGUUGCCAGAGGGACGCACAUUCAGAGUUCGUACGCCCCGCAAAACCUCAUCGGGGCGACCAACAACUGGAGCAGUGAGCGCAUGAACCUUCUUCGUAGAACUGGUUUGGGUGGGCUUCUUCAACUUAGGCAUAUAGGGAAUGUUGAUAGGCAGCGUGCACUCUGGCUCUUGUCACGCAUAGACCCCGACACUAUGUUGCUAGAUGCAGGGGAUGAUGUGUUUGUGCCAAUAGAUGCUCGCGCGUGUGCUAGAGUCCUAGGUUUGGAGGAAGGCGGCAUACGCAUCCCAUUGGGUAAGCCACCGAGCAGGCCUGCAGCCUUGACUAGGGUUCUUGCUCUUCUUAGCACGGGUAUAGCUAGAUCAAGCAAUGUUCCGGCCCAGAGGGUGUUAGCUAUCCUAGAGGAGGCCAUGGUUGGGGAGGUAGAUGCUACAAGGGAACGGAAGCUGUUGGCAGCAUACACACUGUAUGCCGGUGCAGUCUUCCUAGCCCCACGACCAACCUCGGCUCGUGUUCCAGAUGAGUUGCUUCCUGUUGUUGAAAACCCAGACCGUAUAGCCGAGUUUGACUUCUGUAACCUGGUUGUGGACGUCCUCCAUGAGGGUGCGAGGGCAAUCAGGGAAGCGUUGCCGCACCACCCGAGUAAUGUUGUGCUUCUGGGAUGCCUCAUGGUCCCCCUGUUGCUCUUCUUGGACGCCAAGGAGCAUGGUGUUGACGCCCUUGAGAGCCUUCCUGGGCCACGAAUCGCCAUUUAUGGAUCUUCACUGAUGAAAACCAUGUUGGCCAAGCACUUCCCGACUCAUUUUUUCCUUGGCGGCAUGCUUGCGAUUGGGGGCGACGAAGCAGCCCAAAACCCUUUGCCUCGGCCCCAUGCUGCCCCAGCAUCGCCAGACUUGGGUGCUGGGUCAUCCUCACACCCUGCUGAUGGAGCAAGUGAUGCUCGUCGUAGGCUCAACGCGCAGAUCACCCGCGCUGCGGCUGCGGCCUUGUCUCUGACUUUGGAAAGAACUAAGCUUGGUGAUGAUAAAGAUUUAGAGUGCAUGCAAGAAUCAUUCCGCAUACUAGAUCUCCAGAAGAAAGCAAAGAUGGAGGAGAUAGCGAACAUGGCGAGCGAGCGACGCCAAAAAGAACUGGAAGAGAUGCUUGACAUGUUUGUGGCUGAAAUAUUGCACUUAUUGUCAUACGGCCCUGGUACAGAUGGUGCAGAAUGGUGGAGGAAUGCUUCUGAGAGGUUCUUGUCGCUCCCUCCAGGGGAUCAAGGGAGAGAGGACAUGGUUGCUAUGGCACGCACAACAGCAUCUGCUAUACAGAGGACGGCAAUCAGCAACUUAAACAUCCAGACAGGCGCACACAUUGAAUCAGGCAUGGAAGGCAACAAUGGCGAGCCGGGAGCACCUACUAGUGAGGCGGCGCAUGACGGACAUGCUAAUGCUGGGGUUGGCGUGGAAGCCGGCAAUGGUGAGCCUGCGUUGGUUUCAGUCGAAGCAUCUGGCGGCAGCAACCAUCAUGGUGGGAGUGCAGUGCAGGCACCCAUGCCUCUGGCCUUUAGGCGUCCGUCAACUGAAUAUAGCAGCGAUGAUAGUUCUUCAGAUGAUACUACAAGCAGCAGUGAUGAUGAUAUUGUUGAUGUGGACGACAGUGAUCUCUCCGGGAAUGCAAACUACCAUCAGAUUUCUUCAAAUUAUGAAACUCCUCGCCAGAUCAGACGGCUGUCAGCUAACAGUCCAAGAUGCAACCUAGCAAUUGGUGGGCCAAGCUUUGAUGAAUCACCAGCACCUGCUGUGGCUGGUCCUGGAGUUCAAGCUCCAUUGGAUGUAGCUCCUGCUGUUGCUGCUCCUGCUCAACCAGACAAUGUAGCUUUUGGGUUGUCCCCAUUCCAGCUUGGUGUGGCCCAUGAUGAGCCAGUUGCAUUUCGUUGGGUCAAUUUCUAUCAGGAAGCAUUGGCUUGCCGCAAUGAUGAGUUGUUCAUGGACUGGUUUAUGCAUAACGUGCUGUGGGAACUAUUUAUUGAUGGUACAAAGAUGGUGCAGAGUUUCCGCGAAAAUGGAACCAUGACUUACUACACAGUAGACGCUGGCAUUAGGAUGUUCAACGAGAAGGAAGUUGAUAUGAUGCAAGGAACAGGGCAGCCUGUGUGGCGCUGUUUGACAUUGGCUAACUUUGCGGUUCAAUUCCUCACACUCCAGGAGAGUAUGAUAUGGAAACUGCCGUUAGUAUGUUCUUGCCAGAGAAACUGGCAUACUCUAUCAAGAUGUGCCGCCUGA
rnacentral:rRNA from 1 species